CAGCAGCCGCGGUAAUACGUAGGUGGCAAGCGUUGUCCGGAAUUAUUGGGCGUAAAGCGCGCGCAGGCGGUUCCUUAAGUCUGAUGUGAAAUCUCGCGGCUCAACCGUGAGCGGUCAUUGGAAACUGGGGAACUUGAGUGCAGGAGAGAAGAGCGGAAUUCCACGUGUAGCGGUGAAAUGCGUAGAGAUGUGGAGGAACACCAGUGGCGAAGGCGGCUCUUUGGCCUGUAACUGACGCUGAGGCGCGAAAGCGUGGGGAGCAAACAGGAUUAGAUCCCCUGGUAGUCCACGCCGUAAACGAUGAGUGCUAGGUGUUAGAGGGUUUCCGCCCUUUAGUGCUGCAGCUAACGCAUUAAGCACUCCGCCUGGGGAGUACGGCCGCAAGGCUGAAACUUAAAGAAUUGGCGGG
rnacentral:rRNA from 1 species